UACGGUAGGGGGCGAGCGUUGUCCGGAGUUACUGGGCGUAAAGCGCACGCAGGCGGUCGUGUAAGUUUGGAGUGACAGUGCUCGGCUUAACUGAGCAAGGCCUCUGAAGACUGCAUGACUUGAGAACCAGGAGAGGGACAUAGAAUUCCGGGUGGAGUGGUGAAAUGCGUAGAUAUCCGGAGGAAUACCCAAGGCGAAGGCAGUGUCCUGGCUGGUUUCUGACGCUCAGGUGCGAAAGCUAGGGGAGCGAACGAGG
rnacentral:rRNA from 1 species